rnacentral:rRNA from 1 species
UACGUAGGUGGCAAGCGUUAUCCGGAUUUAUUGGGCGUAAAGGGAACGCAGGCGGUCUUUUAAGUCUGAUGUGAAAGCCUUCGGCUUAACCGGAGUAGUGCAUUGGAAACUGGGAGACUUGAGUGCAGAAGAGGAGAGUGGAACUCCAUGUGUAGCGGUGAAAUGCGUAGAUAUAUGGAGGAACACCGGUGGCGAAAGCGGCUCUCUGGUCUGUAACUGACGCUGAGGUUCGAAAGCGUGGGUAGCAAACAGG